rnacentral:rRNA from 1 species
GACGAACGCUGGCGGCGUGCUUAACACAUGCAAGUCGAACGGAAAGGCCCUGCUUUUGUGGGGUGCUCGAGUGGCGAACGGGUGAGUAACACGUGAGUAACCUGCCCUUGACUUUGGGAUAACUUCAGGAAACUGGGGCUAAUACCGGAUAGGAGCUCCUGCUGCAUGGUGGGGGUUGGAAAGUUUCGGCGGUUGGGGAUGGACUCGCGGCUUAUCAGCUUGUUGGUGGGGUAGUGGCUUACCAAGGCUUUGACGGGUAGCCGGCCUGAGAGGGUGACCGGCCACAUUGGGACUGAGAUACGGCCCAGACCCCUACGGGAGGCAGCAGUGGGGAAUAUUGCACAAUGGGCGGAAGCCUGAUGCAGCAACGCCGCGUGCGGGACGACGGCCUUCGGGUUGUAAACCGCUUUCGCCUGUGACGAAGCGUGAGUGACGGUAAUGGGUAAAGAAGCACCGGCUAACUACGUG